AUUCAAAGGUUCAAUAUCCAAGUUAGCAAUUUGACUCAAGAUGUCCUUGGAAAGUCUAGUUCAACUGUUUAUGCCAUUGCAUUGUUAGCCUCUGGACAGAGCUCUGUAAUAACUGGUACAUACGCUGGGCAAUACAUCAUGCAGGAUUUUCUAAACAUGAAGAUGAAAAAAUGGCUGAGGAAUCUCAUGACUCAAUCAAUCGCAAUCACUCCAAGUCUCAUCGUGUCCAUCAUCAAUGGUUCCUCAGGAGCCGGACGGCUCAUCAUAAUCUCAUCGAUGGUACUAUCAUUUGAGUUGUCAUUUGCACUCUUACCUCUUCUCAAAUUCAGCAGCAGUCAAACAAAAAUGGGAC